rnacentral:rRNA from 1 species
UCCUACGGGAGGCAGCAGUGGGGAAUAUUGGACAAUGGGCGAAAGCCUGAUCCAGCCAUGCCGCGUGGGUGAAGAAGGCCUUCGGGUUGUAAAGCCCUUUUGUUGGGGAAGAAAUCCUGCUGGCUAAUACCCGGCGGGGAUGACGGUACCCAAAGAAUAAGCACCGGCUAACUUCGUGCCAGCAGCCGCGGUAAUA